rnacentral:rRNA from 1 species
UACGAAGGGGGCUAGCGUUGCUCGGAAUCACUGGGCGUAAAGCGCACGUAGGCGGACUCUUAAGUCAGGGGUGAAAUCCUGGAGCUCAACUCCAGAACUGCCUUUGAUACUGGCAAUCUCGAGUCCGGGAGAGGUGAGUGGAACUGCGAGUGUAGGGGUGAAAUUCGUAGAUAUUCGCAAGAACACCAGUGGCGAAGGCGGCUCACUGGCCCGGUACUGACGCUGAGGUGCGAAAGCGUGGGGAGCAAACAGG